GGAGGAAGGUCGGGGAUGACGUCAAGUCAUCAUGGCCCUUACGGCCUGGGCUACACACGUGCUACAAUGGUCGGUACAAAGGGUUGCCAAGCCGCGAGGUGGAGCUAAUCCCAUAAACCGAUCGUAGUCCGGAUCGCAGUCUGCAACUCGACUGCGUGAAGUCGGAAUCGCUAGUAAUCGUGAAUCAGAAUGUCACGGUGAAUACGUUCCCGGGCCUU
rnacentral:rRNA from 1 species